GUGGGGAAUCUUGCGCAAUGGGCGAAAGCCUGACGCAGCCAUGCCGCGUGAAUGAUGAAGGUCUUAGGAUUGUAAAAUUCUUUCACCGGGGACGAUAAUGACGGUACCCGGAGAAGAAGCCCCGGCUAACUUCGUGCCAGCAGCCGCGGUAAUACGAAGGGGGCUAGCGUUGCUCGGAAUUACUGGGCGUAAAGGGCGCGUAGGCGGACAGCUUAGUCAGAGGUGAAAGCCCAGGGCUCAACCUUGGAAUUGCCUUUGAUACUGACUGUCUUGAGUUUGGGAGAGGUGAGUGGAACUCCGAGUGUAGAGGUGAAAUUCGUAGAUAUUCGGAAGAACACCAGUGGCGAAGGCGACUCACUGGCCCAAUACUGACGCUGAGGCGCGAAAGCGUGGGGAGCAAACAGGAUUAGAAACCCUGGUAGUCC
rnacentral:rRNA from 1 species